UGUAUCGCAGGAUCCAGCUCAGACCGUGUCAUCAAGUUUGCGGAUGGCACAACAAUGACGGGUCUUAUCAAGAGCAGUCCUGAGUUAGAGAGCAGAGAGAAAGUGGGGCGGCUGGCGGAUUGGUGUGAGGAGAACAACCCAAGUCUGAACGUGAAGACGACAAAGGAAAUUAUUGUAGACUUCAGGAACUACUAUGUCGUCUCAGGCCUAGGGGGCUGGCGUCAGGCACGAUGACAGACUCUCCACUUCUCCCCCUCCCUCAUCAGGUUGCUUCACCUUUAACUGCCCCAAGUGUGUCGAGGAGUGGCCUUGGUAGGAAGUGUGUCAACUUGAUUGCCUGACAGAGGAAAAAUGGAUAUCUUAUGAAAUGCAACUAUGCAAAUUAAUAAGCAAUGGGGCAAAGUCAUACCAAAAGUGACCAGAUUGUGGCCUUUAUGUCCCAAGAAUAAAUUUGGAGAAGUCGUAUGUUCAGUGCCUAUCUUGUUCAGAAAAAUCAAAGAAGCUCUCAGUUCUGUUGGGAUUGUCUAUGAGAGUGGAAAAACACUGAUGCUCAGGCUGAAUGCUGUAGUAGCAAGCCUUGCACGAUGACAAAUUUGCU